CCUCAAGGCCUAAUGGAGUCUGAAGGUACAGCCGUACAAUUUCAUGGCAUCUCAAUCUUGAGCAGUGAUUGCUUGAUUGCUCAGACUCAGAGGAGUCCUAUUUGAGAGUCAGCUUGGAGAGCCUAUCAGGGGGUGAUCUCCCUUCUUCCCAUACCUUUUCCAAGGAGAUCAAAACCUCCUUCAAAGGUUAUGCCUGCCACAAUGAGAUGACAACCUUCUCUGAAGGAAAUGUUUUAGGCUCUUCGGCCAACAACCUCCCUACCAUUGAAGAACCUGAGGAAAUAGAGUCUAAGAAGAUGCAUCAACAGGAGAUAUGAAACUCAGGACAAUACAAGCCAAGUUUGCAAAUCAAGCCUCAACUUCAGACUCUGAUGAUGAAGUCUCAGCAGCUGAUCAGAAUGUCACUGGCAACAACCAGCAAAUGGAUAAGAAUCCAAAACUCAGAGGGCACAGAAUGAACCUCAUGAAUAGCUGGCCAGAAAUACAGCUUGUCCUUCCUGAGUCUGCUGAGAAAAGUAAAAAUGAUGACAGUGAAAAUCAGAAGGACAAUGAAGAAAUUGAGAGCAGUGAUGAAGAAUAUCAAGAACCUGAUGAACAUAUUCAGAAAUAUGACAAAGACAAUAGCCUCUAGCUCCAGGAAUCACUCGAGGAAGAUUUCCAGCAGGGCAGCACCUCCCCUCCACAUCCAGCUCAGGUCCCUCAUGAAGACCCCACCCAAGUCCCAGAGAUGCCGCCUAUGCUCAAGGAAGAUGAAGUUGCUGAGGAGAUGGUAAGUGAAAGACCAACAGUCAAAAGACCACCAUAAAGAUUCCUCCUCAGUCCCUCAGUACAGUCAGAGGAGGAGGACGACACUGGCCUGACACACAAACCAUAACCUAUAUGAACUAUAGGCAGGCUUUCUGCUGGCUCCGGAAAAGAGUUCUUGCUUGUUUUGGAGGAGAGUGAUGGUCAGCAGCCCACCAGCAAUCCCAACCAAGAAAAGAAGUAAGUCUUUGCAGCUCUGAAAAAAUCCACCCUGAAGAAACCCUCACCAUAUUAACAUAACCCGAAUCCCCAGAUUUUUAAACAAUUUGCUGGCCCCAGUUCUAUAAUUCCUAUAGGUUCAUUUUUCUCAAUAAAAUAAAUGCUCUUGUUCACCGGG